AUUGAACGCUGGCGGCAGGCUUAACACAUGCAAGUCGAGCGGAAGAAGGGAGCUUGUUUGUGGAUCCAGAGGCGGAAGGGGGUGUAUUGCCCAGGAAUCUGCCUGGUAGUGGGGGAUAAUGUCUGGAAACGGGUGCUAAUACUGCCUACGUCGUGAGGGAGCAGGUGGGGGGUGUUCGGACAUUUUGCUCUCAGAUGAGUGUAGGCCGGAUUAGUUAGUUGGUGGGGUAAAGGCCUACCAAGCCGAGUAUCGGUAACUGGACUGAGAGGAGGAUCAGUCACACGGGAGCUGAGACACGCACCUUGCGCCUACGGGAGGCAGCAGUGUGGAAUAUGGGACAGUGGGGGGAAACCUGAUCCAGCGAGGCCGCGUGUGUGAAGAAAGUCUUCGGUUUGUAAAGCACUUUAUCGUGGGGGAAAGGGCAUUAGGUUGAUACCUUGCUUGAUUGACGGUACCGGCAGAAUAAGCACCGGCUAACUACGUG
rnacentral:rRNA from 1 species